CUAAUCUAAAUCUCCUCUUUUUUUCAGUUUAAAACCGUUCUUCCUCAUUGUAUCAUUCAUGUUGAAAUUUCCACUGUGGAUCACUGAUGCAUCUCUCAGCCAAGGGAGACAGGAGCACAGCAGCAGUACUAACCACCAGGCAGCUUUCUCCUGGGCCACCAGAAGCCGAGAUGCCCAUAGGGUUACCAGGAAUGGUGGAUGGCCAGUUGGGUGGCCACCACUCCUAACACCCUGUGGAAUGGCACUGUAGGAUGGGGCCAAGAGAGCUGCUGCCAGCUCAACACCUCACUUUAUUUCUACAUCAACAUCAUGACCCGUGGCAACCCACUCUGGAUUCCUCUAUGGAGCAACCGACAACCCACAUGCCUGACUGCGUACUGACUGUGUGGAUUAAUCCUCUGGAAAGGAAGGGGCCAAGCCUGUAUUUUAGCAGACUGAAGGAAGAAUUGGAGCGUCAGUCCCUAAAAAAGAAGAUCCCCAAGGCACUGCUAUGUGUGGGAAUAAGGGUGUCCAGCUGUAUCACUGACACAGGGAGAUGGUGAUGUGGUUGCAAAGGAUGGGAUCCUCACAACCUCCGGAACUUGUUCUCGCCACCGUCAGUGUCCCUGCAGACAAAGGUCAGGAACUGGCUCCACAGAGCCAUAAAGUGCAUUUCACAAGCAGGAGGAGCCUGGGACAUGUAUGUCCUCAGCAUUUCUGUCACCCACGGACGUGGUGGCCUCCCUCAGCAGCACGGAGGUGGGCAGCCAGGGCUCCUGCUCCGUGGCUGGCUGUGCACAGAGAGCACCAGAGCACACAGCAUUAUUUAUUUGUGGGGCUAUUGCAAACAUGGGUCACCUUUGAGUGUUUCUUAAUAUAACUUUUUUCUGUGUUCAUUGGUUUACCCUUAAAACUAACUGGGAAUCAUUUUCAGUUAAAAAAGUAUAUGUGUACCUAAGUCCCUUAAGGAGACAGCACUCAGCCUGCCUUCUAAAAAAUGCUGGUUUAGAAAUUACUGUCCAGCCUUAAACUCACUUUUAACCU